rnacentral:tRNA from 1 species
GCCCCCGUAGCUCAGGUGGAUAGAGCGACGGUUUCCUAAACCGUAGGUCGCGCGUUCGAGCCGCGCCGGGGGCA